AGUUUAAAAUUUAUAUUUAGUUUGUAAAUAAAAUAUUAUUUAUAUUAGUAUGUUUAAGAAAAUUAUUUUGGUAUUAUAGUAAAUUGUAUAGUGAUAGAAUAUUGAAAUAUAGUGAAAUAUAGGUUUUUAUUAAGAAGAUUUAAUUUUUUGUACCUUGUGUAUCAGGGUUUACUAAAAUUGUUUAAUGAUUUAGAGUUCUCGAAUUAAUAAGAGUUAAUAUUAUAUAAAUUUAAUUGUGGAAUAAAUUUUUAGGAUAUAAUAUUAGAAAUGAAACGUUAUACGUUUUUUAAGAUAUCUAGUUUUUUAAGAAAUAAAUUUAAUUUAGUUUAUGGGUUUAAUUUGGUUAAUUAUUUAAUUAAGUUAAUAAAUAAAUUAAUAUUUUAAGGGAUAAGCUUUAAAAUAGAUUAUUAUAAUUUUGUUUUAUUAUUGGAAAUUUAGUAGGAUUGGAAAUUUUUAUCAGUAGUAUGUUAUAAUUAAUUUUUAUAUUUAAUAAGAUUUAUAUUGUAAUUUAAGUUGUUUAUUAGAAUGAUGUUCAAAAUUUUAUAGAAUGUGUAAUAAUGGUAAAAUUAGUAUAAAUUUGUGUUUAAUUAAAUUAUUAGAUAAAGGUUAAAUUAAGGAACUCGGCAAAUUAAUUUUUCGCCUGUUUAUUAAAAACAUGUCCUUUUGAUUAUAAUUUAAGGUCUGACCUGCCCAAUGAGGAGUUGAAUGGCCGCGGUAUUUUGACCGUGCAAAGGUAGCAUAAUCAUUAGUUUUUUAAUUGAAAGCUGGAAUGAAUGGUUGGACGAGAAAAUUUCUGUCUCAAUUUAAAUUUGAUUAGAAUUUUAUUUUUAAGUUAGAAAGCUUAAAUAAUUUUAAAAGACGAGAAGACCCUAUAGAGUUUUAUAUUUUUAUAUUUAUUAACAUUAAGAAUGUUUUAGUUUUUUAUAUAUAAAAGUAUUUUGUUGGGGUGACAGAAAAAUUAAUUUAACUUUUUUUAAUUUUUAACAUUGAUUUAUGAAAGCUUGAUCCAUAAAUUUUGAUUAUAAGAUUAAAUUACCUUAGGGAUAACAGCGUAAUUUUUUUUGAGAGUUCUUAUCGAAAAAAGAGUUUGCGACCUCGAUGUUGGAUUAAAAUUAACUUUUGGUGUAGUAGCUAAAUAGUUAGGUCUGUUCGACCUUUAAAAUUUUACAUGAUCUGAGUUUAAACCGGUGUGAGCCAGGUUGGUUUCUAUCUUUAAAAAUUUUUAAUAUUUUAGUACGAAAGGACCAAGUAUUAGUAAUAUUUAUUUUUGUUUGAUUAAUAUU
rnacentral:rRNA from 1 species